CCCUGAAUAGCUUAACAAAAGCAUUGAUUUUGUAAUUCAAAGAUAGAAAAAUACUCUUUCAGGUA
rnacentral:tRNA from 1 species